CUGCCCAGCAGGACUGGCUGACUCCCGAGCCCGAGGGGGUGGGAGGGGCUGGACACCCACCCUGCCGAAUGGUGUCUACAGGAGCCUCACUCUCCAUGACCCCCGACGUUCAUCCAUCCACUCGGCACCACAGCCAGAAGCCUCCUCCAAUCCUCCCUCCCUCCUUCAUUCAUCCAUCCAUUUGUUCAUUCUUCCCUCCCCACCCCCAAUCGAGGCGCGCACUCCCCAGCUGGGGAGAUCAAUGUAUACACACAAACAAAUAAAUCAGAUAACAUCGGGGAGCAGUAAGAACCGUGAAGAAAAUAAAACUGGAGGGGCUGGCCCGGUGGUGCAGCCAUUAAGUUCGCACGUUCCACUCUGGCGGCCCGGGGUUUGCCAGUUCAGAUCCCGGAUGUGGACCUCUGCACUAGAGAAUGGGGUUGAGUGAUAGGCGGUGGGGACUGUGGCCAGGGUGGUCAACAGAGGCCCACAUGAGGACAGGAGGCCUGGGGACAAGGGGCCUACACAGCCCCAACGCAUGGUCUCUAAGCCCUGCAACUUUAAUCCUCUCUUUCCACUCUCAGCUGAAACUCCACCUCCUCCAGGAAGUCUGCUGGAUGCCGCUGGUGCUCCAGGCUCUGGCUGCACUGGCUGCAGAAGCCUUUCCAGGCAAGCUCAUCUUGUGAGGAUCUUGGAGUCGCACCACCUGGACCUUCUCUUCAGAGACGCCUGGAGGUGGGUCCUGUGGGAGGAUGGUGUCAGAACCCGAGAGGGCAGGAGCAGAGGUCACAGUCUGCCAGCUCGCAUGAUGGGGAAACCAAGGCCUUAGAGCAAAGAGACCAGGCCCGCAGCAAGCGGGUGGCGGAGCCCAGACAAAGCCUUUCUACCCGAUGACCGGCCUCUGGGAGGGACGCGGAGAGCCCGCGCCCUGGGCGGUCCUCUCUCAUCUGGUCCUGCCGUAGCCCUGUGCACCCAGAGGCAGGAGGGGUGUCCUCCGAUGCUCAGCCUGCCCCUGGAGCCUGGAAACCUCGCCGAGUCCCCCUUCCUCCAUUCCUCACCCAGCAAUGUCCCCAGAGCCUGCGGGGAAGACAGAGAGGACCAAAUGGCUCCAGCCGGCUGCUUUUUCUCAUGUCUCCUUUUAAUUGUUUUUCUCGAUUCCCUUGCUGUCAACACCUUUUCUCAAAGUAAACCACAUAUGAAGAGUAAGAUGGACAGUGUCAUGGUUGCACAACAACAGUGUGA
rnacentral:lncRNA from 1 species